UACCUUGCUAUGACUUUUGAGAUGUUACUCAGAUGGGUUAGUCGAAACUAAUUAUACUUUAAAAAGGCAGUUAUAUACCUAGUUAAAUUAAAAUAGGAUUCUAAUUUAAAGAAUAACUACACUAACUAUUCAAAUAAAUGAAUAAUCAAAUCACUUUUCUUUUCAUUUAUUAUUUUAACCUCUGAUUUUUCUUACCUUUUUAAGGUUAGUUUUUAAAGGUUAAGUAGAUUUAUUUAGUUUAUUUUAAAUUUAAAGUUAAAUAUAAAAAAUAUAAUACUCCUUACUACUAAGCCCAACCUUAAGUCGGCAAAAAGUAGUCAAUAAUUAAAUAAAUAGAAAGAGAAAAAUAAAUAAGAAACCAAUAUUUUUUUUAUUUAUAAUGUUUUACCUUUUUUUUAGAUAAAUUUCGCGGCGCUUUCCCCCAAGCUGAAUUUCUCCCCAGCGACAGACGG
rnacentral:rRNA from 1 species